AGAGUUUGAUCCUGGCUCAGGAUGAACGCUAGCUACAGGCUUAACACAUGCAAGUCGAGGGGCAGCAUCAUCAAAGCUUGCUUUGAUGGAUGGCGACCGGCGCACGGGUGAGUAACACGUAUCCAACCUGCCGACAACACUGGGAUAGCCUUUCGAAAGAAAGAUUAAUACCGGAUGGCAUAGUUUUCCCGCAUGGGAUAAUUAUUAAAGAAUUUCGGUUGUCGAUGGGGAUGCGUUCCAUUAGGCAGUUGGCGGGGUAACGGCCCACCAAACCUACGAUGGAUAGGGGUUCUGAGAGGAAGGUCCCCCACAUUGGAACUGAGACACGGUCCAAACUCCUACGGGAGGCAGCAGUGAGGAAUAUUGGUCAAUGGACGAGAGUCUGAACCAGCCAAGUAGCGUGAAGGAUGACUGCCCUAUGGGUUGUAAACUUCUUUUAUACGGGAAUAAAGUGAGCCACGUGUGGCUUUUUGUAUGUACCGUAUGAAUAAGGAUCGGCUAACUCCGUGCCAGCAGCCGCGGUAAUACGGAGGAUCCGAGCGUUAUCCGGAUUUAUUGGGUUUAAAGGGAGCGUAGGCGGGUUGUUAAGUCAGUUGUGAAAGUUUGCGGCUCAACCGUAAAAUUGCAGUUGAUACUGGCGACCUUGAGUGCAACAGAGGUAGGCGGAAUUCGUGGUGUAGCGGUGAAAUGCUUAGAUAUCACGAAGAACUCCGAUUGCGAAGGCAGCUUACUGGAUUGUAACUGACGCUGAUGCUCGAAAGUGUGGGUAUCAAACAGGAUUAGAUACCCUGGUAGUCCACACAGUAAACGAUGAAUACUCGCUGUUGGCGAUAUACAGUCAGCGGCCAAGCGAAAGCAUUAAGUAUUCCACCUGGGGAGUACGCCGGCAACGGUGAAACUCAAAGGAAUUGACGGGGGCCCGCACAAGCGGAGGAACAUGUGGUUUAAUUCGAUGAUACGCGAGGAACCUUACCCGGGCUUAAAUUGCAACUGACGGAACCGGAAACGGUUCUUUCUUCGGACAGUUGUGAAGGUGCUGCAUGGUUGUCGUCAGCUCGUGCCGUGAGGUGUCGGCUUAAGUGCCAUAACGAGCGCAACCCUUAUCGAUAGUUACUAGCAGGUCAUGCUGAGGACUCUAUCGAGACUGCCGUCGUAAGAUGUGAGGAAGGUGGGGAUGACGUCAAAUCAGCACGGCCCUUACGUCCGGGGCUACACACGUGUUACAAUGGGGGGUACAGAAGGCAGCUACACGGCGACGUGGUGCUAAUCCCAAAAGCCUCUCUCAGUUCGGAUUGGAGUCUGCAACCCGACUCCAUGAAGCUGGAUUCGCUAGUAAUCGCGCAUCAGCCACGGCGCGGUGAAUACGUUCCCGGGCCUUGCACUCACCGCCCGUCAAG
rnacentral:rRNA from 1 species